GGACGAGCCUCUGGAGAGACUGUGAGCAGCUAAGUGUUCGUCAACUUAACUGUCACACAGCGCCGAAGGCGAAAGUGUUAGCCCAAAUGGCAAACGCGAAACGCUCAGGCAAAAGGACAGAGGAGAGGAU
rnacentral:ncRNA from 2 species